rnacentral:rRNA from 1 species
AUUGAACGCUGGCGGCAGGCUUAACACAUGCAAGUCGAGCGGAGCGAGGGUGCUUGCACCUUAGCUUAGCGGCGGACGGGUGAGUAAUGCUUAGGAAUCUGCCUAUUAGUGGGGGACAACAUUCCGAAAGGGAUGCUAAUACCGCAUACGCCCUACGGGGGAAAGCAGGGGAUCUUCGGACCUUGCGCUAAUAGAUGAGCCUAAGUCGGAUUAGCUAGUUGGUGGGGUAAAGGCCUACCAAGGCGACGAUCUGUAGCGGGUCUGAGAGGAUGAUCCGCCACACUGGGACUGAGACACGGCCCAGACUCCUACGGGAGGCAGCAGUGGGGAAUAUUGGACAAUGGGCGGAAGCCUGAUCCAGCCAUGCCGCGUGUGUGAAGAAGGCCUUAUGGUUGUAAAGCACUUUAAGCGAGGAGGAGGCUACUUUAGUUAAUACCUAGAGAUAGUGGACGUUACUCGCAGAAUAAGCACCGGCUAACUCUGUGCCAGCCGCCGCCGUAA